UGGGGAAUUGUUCGCAAUGGGCGCAAGCCUGACGACGCAACGCCGCGUGGAGGAUGAAGACCUUCGGGUCGUAAACUCCUUUCGAUCGAGACGAAUGGCCCUUGGGCUAAUCACCAGGGGAAUGACGGUACCGAGAGAAUAAGCACCGGCUAACUUCGUGCCAGCAGCCGCGGUAAUACGAAGGGUGCAAGCGUUACUCGGAAUUACUGGGCGUAAAGCGUGCGUAGGUGGUCGUUUAAGUCCGUUGUGAAAGCCCUGGGCUCAACCUGGGAACUGCACUUGAAACUACGAUGCUCGAGUAUGGCAGAGGGAGGUGGAAUUCCACGUGUAGCGGUGAAAUGCGUAGAGAUGUGGAGGAACACCGAUGGCGAAGGCAGCCUCCUGGGCCAAUACUGACGCUCAUGCACGAAAGCGUGGGGAGCAAACAGGAUUAGAUACCCAUGUAGUCCCUGAGCGGGCUGGCAAGGCGCAU
rnacentral:rRNA from 1 species